rnacentral:rRNA from 1 species
GGGUAAAAGACCGUACCCAAACGGACGACGAUACGGUAGGCGUCGGUCGUCGAGAGGACGGAGUCAGCCGACGAACUCGGGACGUGAGGACACGGCCCAGACGUCCUACGGAGGCAGCGAGUGGGGAAGUUUUCGUCAAUGGGCGAAAGCCUGACGGAGCAAGACCGCGUCGGGGAAGAAGGCUCUUGGUUGUAACCCGUUUUCUCUGGAGAAAGUUGUGAAGCAACCUGACGGUACCAGAGGAAUCAGCAUCGGCUACUCCGUGCAGCAGCGCG